rnacentral:lncRNA from 1 species
CGUAGUCUAUCGCUGCCUCAUCGAAUUCUCUACGGCAAUUGCGGAGUUUUAAUCAUGCAUUUAAAGAUCCGAGGACUACUCAUGCUUGGCCAGCGAGCAUGCGCUUAUCUCAAGAGGUGUUGCCGAGUCUGGCUCGUGGGCAACACAGUUUUUCUUCCUUCCGAGCCUUGCCGGUGAUGCUAUAUCAGCCACUUUCUUCGCAACCAACCUGAAU